rnacentral:lncRNA from 1 species
UUUUCCAAAUAAAUUUUAAUUACCAAUUAUUAUGAUCCUACAUGAUACAAAAUAACCAAAUGAAACCAAACACAAUCUGCUUCUUUUAAGAUGUGUGUAAAUAUCAAACAAACAGUUACUUGUGAUAUGCUUUUGAUCACGGUUGUAAAUUAUCUUUAAAUAAAAAGGAGGAAAAGGAUCUGCAUCAUGGGUUUGGUAUCAGUAGCAAAAUAUUACAAUAAUGCAAAAUAAAUGACAGUACUGAGGAUACUAUCUAUUUUCCUGGUUGUUUUUAUUAUAGGGGGAAAUAAUCCUAAUGUAAUUUCUUAGUCUAUAUAAUUACGUAUAAAAGUUUAUGAAUUAAAAUAAAAUCAUGUAAAUUUUUUGAUACAUGUAAUAAAUUUUGUAAUCAUUUAGUGACUAUUCUUUGUUUAAUAUAUAAACUUAAGGCUUUCUAGUCCUUACUUAACUUAUAAAUAAAUAAUAGAAUUCCAUAUAAAAAAAGAAUCCUCAGUUUGUCUCAACUUUUAAAAAUGACAUCCAAAAACAAUACAAUUCUUAUACAAAGUAAAACUGUGGUAAAAGCUAUAAUAUAAAAAUAUUAAAACAUGCAUGUACAAAUUAUUUUUUGAGAAUUACUCAACUUAUUUACUGGGUAAUUAAAACAAACUAAAUAUCUUGAUCGGUGCAAAAAUGAUUAGAUUACCAAUGAAAUAGCAGAGGUGGGAAAAAUUUGGUUGAUUAUUUAGGAAAUCACUGAAGUACCACUGGAGGAGGCCCCUCUAACAAUCGGUGAGCACCCCCUUUUUUUCCCUUUAUGAAAAUUUCUGGAUCCUCCAGUGAACAGAUUACAUUUCAUUCAUUCACAUUUUUAACCUCAAGCUGUUUUAAACUAUAUAGUUUCUUUACUCCUUCCAAAUUUCUAAGCUAUUUGUUUUUAAAAUUAAGUAGUAUAUUUUUAUAUUUAUUUAUGGAACCCAGGAAGGCAGAUAACUAGUGUUCAGUUAUUAUUUUAUAGUCUGAUUUAUGCAUUAGGCCGGAAUGUGGUAUAGUGAUUCAGUGUAUGAUAUGUUUGCUCAUCCAUCUACAACUUUAACCCACAAUUAUCAAGAUUAAAUGGGACUUUCCCGAUACUUUCAAAUAAUCUUCAGUCUCUGCCGACAUUGUGUACUAUUUUUUAUAACUUCUAAAGGUUCUCUAAUCAAAGAAUGGAUUUUUUCUUUUCUUAUAUCUUAUUACUCAUAUUGAAGGAUAGGUUAGUUCAGCUGAUAUCAACAUAGAUUUAGUUAGAGCAGAUUCUCAACUUGCAUCCACAAAUCUAACAAUUUGAUCAAUCUUCCAAGGACUGCAUCAAUAGUUGAAGGGUGAAAUAGAAUGUUUAUGAAUUUAACAGAGAGUUAAAAGCAUAAAAAUGUCAGAUCUCAUUAUGAAAAUAAAUAUCUGCAUGUAAAAGUUUUUUUUUUUAGUUUCCGAACAAACCCAAUCAUAUUAAGGCUUGGUAUAACAAGAUUUUACAAUAAAAACAAAUAAAAUCAGAUAAAAACCACUAAAAUCAGAUAAAAUCAUAUAAAACACAAAUGUUGUUAUAGCAAACCUUAUAUAUACUUCAAAGCUACAGUGGUAAUAUACUAUUGUCUUGAAGUAGAAUAUAUUGAAAAUUUGUAUUAAUGUCAUGACAAUUUUGUCAUAAU